GUAGGUGAACCUGCGGAAGGAUCAUUACCAUAAUGUGCGCUGUCACACGAGUCAUCACGCCUGGGCAGUAAUUCCCGCCAUAUAGUAGGGCAAAAGGCCACCCGGAGUGCCCCCGAAACAAAACUGUCGGGGGGAGGGCUGCAGUGUCAGCUGGGCUCCGGGGGCGGGAUAGAGUUAGAGUCCCGUCUGCGUCACGCAAGAAUCGAAAACGAACUUGAACCCGGUGCUGGGUUUGCCCGUCAGGGCUGAUUGGCCCGUUCACCUUCACAAAACCCUCCGUGUACCAUUUCCCUGUUGCUUCCCCGCGCCCCCGCGGCGCGGGGGAGGUCCACCUGAAACACAACAGCACCAAACUGCAGUCAGAAAAACAAACAAACAAUAAGUUAAAACUUUCAACAACGGAUCUCUUGGUUCCC
rnacentral:misc_RNA from 1 species